rnacentral:rRNA from 1 species
UACGUAGGGUGCGAGCGUUGUCCGGAAUUAUUGGGCGUAAAGGGCUCGUAGGCGGUCUGUUACGUCGGGAGUGAAAACUCAGGGCUCAACCCUGAGCUUGCUUCCGAUACGGGCAGACUAGAGGUAUGCAGGGGAGAAUGGAAUUCCUGGUGUAGCGGUGAAAUGCGCAGAUAUCAGGAGGAACACCGGUGGCGAAGGCGGUUCUCUGGGCAUUACCUGACGCUGAGGAGCGAAAGUGUGGGGAGCGAACAGG